GUUGCUACAAUAUUUCCAGCUGUGUAUACCUCCUGGGAUCAUAAUAGAAAUGAGCCUCUGAAGCAUCUGACUGAAGAAAGCCCCUAUGUUGACUGUCCAGCUGACUGUCUUCCCGACUGCUGUACCACACGAUAGGGGCCAGGCGAUGGUACUGCCUUUGCAAACUAAAUGUAGUUCCUCAAGGUGAAGCUGGUGGCGAGUUCAGAGUUAACUUUUCAAAUGGUCAGGCUUAUACAGAAUAACCUUUGUAAAAGUGAACUAUGAUCAGAUAGUGAUAAGGUACAUGUGCAUUUGGAAUGCCACUGCUUUUGGAACUUGUUUCAGUUUUUAUCAUCAUACAAGGUUAAUUGUCUAAUGAAUUAGAUUUUAUCACAGUGUAUUUCGGUCCUAAUCUGGAACAAUAAAAGUCUAUUAAACAGCAAA